AACUUUCAGCAAUGGAUCUCUUGGCUCUCGCAUCGAUGAAGAACGCAGCGAAAUGCGAUAAGUAAUGUGAAUUGCAGAAUUCUGUGAGUCAUCGAAUCUUUGAACGCACAUUGCGCCCCCUAGCACUCUAGAGGGCAUGCCUGUCCGAGCGUCAUUUCACCCCUCAAGCGCUGUCUCGCUUGGAGUUGGGGCUCUUGCAGCGAGCACUUGGUGCUCUGCAAGCCCUGAAAUUCAGCGGCGGGCCCGUCAGCACACCGAGCGUAGUAAUACUGCUUCCCGCUUAGGGCGUGCGGCGCGGCUCAGUCGACUUAUAAAAUUUCCAAAGUUGACCUCGGAUCAGGUAGGACUACCCGCUGAACUUAAGCAUAUCAAUAAGCGGAGGCU
rnacentral:misc_RNA from 1 species